CACUCAUAUAUGCUACUUCUACUCCGGAAGUACCAUCCACAUAUAUCCACCCAUUCCAUCUCCAGAACCACCUAAAAAUAUUCUACUCCUAAUCCGGGAGAGAAUAACCAAAAAUAUUUCUGUUUUCCCUUGUGAAAUAAAUGCUCAAGUUAUCUUGUUACUACCACUUGCUAUAUUAUCUCAAGAGAUGAGUGCUCUAAAAAAAAGAGAGAGAAAAUAAUACGAGGAAAUAAAAAGGAGCAAGUGCUCGGAACCUCGAAAGAAAAGAAAAAGUGAGACGAGAGGUAAAAAUGGACAAGUGUCCGACAGUAGAAUUAGGGUUGCAAGAUACCCACCUGAGAGAAAAGAAAAAGAAGAGCAUCUUAUUCUCCUCAUAAAGUUUCAAAAGCAAGGAAGGUAUGUAUCCCCUCAAAAGAGCAAAGUAGAAUUAGACUUUCACCACCAUUGUUUUCACCAUUGUUUUCACCAUUGUUUUCACCAUUGUUAUCACUAUCACCACCAUACAUCAUUCAUUCACCACACAUGCACAUCUUGAUUAGGCUUAUUGAUUUGUUUCUUUGGAUCCACGGUUUGACUAUGCAAUAAAUGUCUUGUAAGUAUGUAUAUUUUAUCUCCCACCUAUGAGCUCCAGAUAUUAAAGCCUUAUUAGAAUAG
rnacentral:lncRNA from 1 species